rfam:Oryza brachyantha chromosome 3, whole genome shotgun sequence.
AAUAAGUUUAUUCAAUCAGUUUUUGGAUAUAAUGUUUAACUCUUUAUCUUAUUUAAAUCUUUUUACGAUUAAUAUUUUUGUUGUUAUUAGAUGAUAAAACAUGAAUAAUACUUUACACGUGACUAAUUUUUUAAAAGUUUUUCUAGAAACUUUUCAAAUAAAACAGUUGAUCAAAUGUUGGAUACAAAAAUC